rnacentral:rRNA from 1 species
UUUAAAGCGAAUAAGGGCGCAUGGUGGAUGCCUAGGGUCUGAGAGGCGAUGAAAGACGUGGUAAGCUGCGAUAAGCUACGGGGAGGUGCACACGACCGUUAUAUCCGUAGAUUUCUGAAUGGGACAACCUAAUAUACUGAAGGUAUAUUACUCUGCAAAGAGAGCCAACCCCGAGAACUGAAACAUCUAAGUACCGGGAGGAAAAGAAAAUAAUAAUGAUUCCCUGAGUAGUGGCGAGCGAAAAGGGAAGAGCCCAAACCGGGUCAGCGUGCUGAUCCGGGGUUAUAGGACUGCAUUUAGAAGUUGUUAUCAAACCGAAUCAUCUGGAAAGAUGGGCCAUAGCAGGUGAUAGCCCUGUAAGUACAAAUUAACAAGGACGAGCAGUAUCCUGAGUAACGCGGGACCGGAGGAAUCUUGCGUGAAUUUGCCAGCACCAUCUGGUAAGGCUAAAUACUCCUCAGACACCGAUAGUGAACCAGUACCGUAAGGGAAAGGUGAAAAGCACCCCGAACAGGGGAGUGAAAUAGUACCUGAAACCGUGCGCCUACAAGCGGUCGGAGCUCAGCAAUGAGUGACGGCGUGCCUUUUGCAUAAUGAGCCUACGAGUUGCUCCUCACUGGCGAGGUUAAGUUCUUAUUUAACGGAGCCGAAGCGAAAGCGAGUCCAAAUAGGGCGAAUAGUCAGUGGGGGCAGACGCGAAACUUUGUGAUCUAUCCAUGGGCAGGUUGAAGGUGUGGUAACACACACUGGAGGACCGAACCCGUUGACGUUGAAAAGUCUUGGGAUGACCUGUGGAUAGGGGUGAAAGGCCAAUCAAACUGAGAGAUAGCUCGUUCUCCCCGAAAUGUUUUUAGGAACAGCGUUGCAUUAUGAAGUUUAUUAGAGGUAGAGCUACUGAUUGGGCUAGGGGGCUUCACCGCCUACCAAACCCUGACAAACUCCGAAUGCUAAUAAAUAUCUGCAGCAGUGAGGCUUUGGGCGCUAAGGUCCAGGGCCGAGAGGGAAAUAACCCAGAUUAGCAACUAAGGUCCCUAAUACGUAGUUAAGUUGAUCAAACGAGGUGGGAUUUCUAUAACAGCCAGGAUGUUGGCUUGGAAGCAGCCAUUCAUUUAAAGAGUGCGUAACAGCUCACUGGUCGAGAGAUCCUGCACGGAAAAUAAUCGGGCAUCAAACUACGAACCGAAGUUCUAAAUUCUAGCCUAGCUAGAGUGGUAGGGGAGCAUUGAAAUCUGCACAGAAGGUGUGGCGCGAGCCAUGCUGGAGCGAUUUCAAAAGAAAAUGUAGGCAUAAGUAACGAUAAUUAAAGUGAAAAACUUUAACGCGAAAAGUCUAAGGUUUCCUGAUCAACGUUAAUCGGAUCAGGGUUAGUCUGGUCCUUAGGAAAACCCGAAAGGGGUAUCUGAUGGAAAGAAGGUUAAUAUUCCUUCACCUACUAUGCAUUAAAAGUGACGCAGGGACGUGGUGGUUGCGUACGGACGGAAGUGUACGCCUGAGUGGAGUCUUCGGACAAAGCGAAACCAUAAAAUCCCUGCCAAGAAAAGCGAGCAUAGCAGCCAGUACCGGAAUCCGACACAGGUAGACGGGAUGAGUAUUCUAACGCGCUCGGGUGAGCCGUGGAGAAGGAACUAGGCAAAUUAACGCUGUAACUUCGGGAUAAAGCGUACCAUCGCAAGAUGGUCACAGUAAAAUGGUACAACCAACUGUUUAACAAAAACACAGGGCCCUGCAAAAACGUAAGUUGACGUAUAGAGCCUGAAACCUGCCCGGUGCUGGAAGGUUAAGGAAGGGUGUUCGACGCAAGUCAAAGCUCCUGACUGAAGCCCCAGUAAACGGCGGCCGUAACUAUAACGGUCCUAAGGUAGCGAAAUUCCUUGUCGGGUAAGUUCCGACCUGCACGAAUGGUCUAAUGAGUUGUACACUGUCUCCUCCACGAGCCCGGUGAAAUUGUAGUAUCGGUGAAGAUGCCGGUUACCC